UUAAAAUGUAAGCUAUCUCUGUGUGUGCUCAAUGUCACCUGAUCUCGGAAGCUAAGCAGGGGCUGGCUUGGUUAGUACUUGGAUGAGAUUCUCUCUGGGAAUAUGGUGCACUUCGGG
ensembl:rRNA 5S_rRNA 5S ribosomal RNA